rfam:Candidatus Ryanbacteria bacterium RIFCSPLOWO2_02_FTLL_45_11c rifcsplowo2_02_scaffold_11568, whole genome shotgun sequence.
CAGGGAGGAGCCCGGUGAAAAUGCAAUACCGGUGAAGAUGCCGGUUACCUGCUGCGGGACGAAAAGACCCCAGAAGCUUUACUGCAACUUGGUAUUGAGCUUACGUUGCACAUGCGUAGCAUAGACGGGAGGCUUUGAAGUGUCGCUUUCGGGCGGCAUGGAGCCAACAGUGAAAUACCGUUCUUGUGUGGUGUAUGUUCUAACCUCGGCGUAAACCGUCGGGAGACAGUGCCUGGUGGGCAGUUUGUGUGGGGCGCAAGCCUCCUAAAAAGUAACGGAGGCGUUUAUUAAGGUCGGCUAGGCGCGGAUGGAAAUCGCGUUGAUAGGGCAAUGCCACAAGCCGGCCUGACUGCAAGGAGGACAUUCCGAGCAGACGCGAAAGCGGAACAUAGUGAUCCGAUGUCUAGUAUUAGAAACAAGGCAAAGCUCAACGGAUAAAAGCUACUCUGGGGAUAACAGGCUGGUCGCGCCCGAGCGUCCAUAGCGACGGCGCGGUUCGGCACCUCGAUGUCGGCUCGUCUUAUCCUGGUGGUGGAGAAGCUACCAAGGGUUUGGCUGUUCGCCAAUUAAAAAGGCACGCGAGCUGGGUUCAGACCGUCAACAAAAGAACCUAUAAAAAGAAAUCGAGAGCACACGGCGGCUUUCGCAAGCAAUUGCGAUUGAAAAAACCGACUCAUAUCGGUGGAUUCCUUUCAUAGACUAUCAACCUGUCAUAUGCUAGGAUAAUACCGAGGGAAGUCGUGUAUGAUUUCAAGAUUCUUCUCGGGCUAGUUAAUUCUUAUCGAGAAUUAAAUUAUUCAAAAAGAAGAAUAAAUCGUACAUUGACCCCGUAGAGACUUGUUCCAAUAAAACGGAACAGAUUUAAUCUUAUUGAUUAAAUAACACGUUGGUCUCCCGGUAAAACCGGGAUGAUGGUAUAGUCCAAUCCCGUUAGUAAUGACGGAAAAAAGAAAAUGCGUGAGACAGGUUGGUCUCCUAUCUGCAGCAGGCGCUUGAUUCUUGAGGGGAGUCUUUCCUAGUACGAGAGGACCGGAAAGAACUGACCUCUGGUCUACCAGCUGUCCCGCCCGGGGCACCGCUGGGUAGCUAUGUCGGGAAUGGAUAACCGCUGAAAGCAUCUAAGCGGGAAGCCAACCCCAAGAUAAGGAAUCAUGGAUCCCUCGAAGACUACGAGGUUGAUAGGCUCUAGGUGUAAGCGCAGUAAUGCGUUCAGCCGAGGAGUACUAAUAGAUUCUAAAGACACCAUU